rnacentral:rRNA from 1 species
AGCAGAGAUGCUUGGUGCCUUCGGGAACUCUGAGACAGGUGCUGCAUGGCUGUCGUCAGCUCGUGUUGUGAAAUGUUGGGUUAAGUCCCGCAACGAGCGCAACCCUUAUCCUUUGUUGCCAGCGGCUCGGCCGGGAACUCAAAGGAGACUGCCGGUGAUAAACCGGAGGAAGGUGGGGAUGACGUCAAGUCAUCAUGGCCCUUACGGCCAGGGCUACACACGUGCUACAAUGGCGCAUACAAAGAGAAGCGACCUCGCGAGAGCAAGCGGACCUCACAAAGUGCGUCGUAGUCCGGAUUGGAGUCUGCAACUCGACUCCAUGAAGUCGGAAUCGCUAGUAAUCGUAGAUCAGAAUGCUACGGUGAAUACGUUCCCGGGCCUUGUACACACCGCCCGUCACACCAUGGGAGUGGGUUGCAAAAGAAGUAGGUAGCUUAACCUUCGGGAGGGCGCUUACCACUUUGUGAUUCAUGACUGGGGUGAAGUCGUAACAAGGUAGGCGUAGCGAG